UCCAGACUCCUACGGGAGGCAGCAGUGGGGAAUAUUGCACAAUGGGGGAAACCCUGAUGCAGCGACGCCGCGUGAGUGAAGAAGUAUUUCGGUAUGUAAAGCUCUAUCAGCAGGAACGAGACAAGACGGUACCUGACUAAGAAGCCCCGGCUAACUACGUGCCAGCAGCCGCGGUAAUACGUAGGGGGCAAGCGUUAUCCGGAAUUACUGGGUGUAAAGGGAGCGUAGACGGUGAAGUAAGUCUGGAGUGAAGGGCGGGGGAGCAACCCCCGGACUGCUCUGGAAACUAGUUGACUGGAGUGCAGAAGAGGUGAGCGGAAUUCCUGGUGUAGCGGUGAAA
rnacentral:rRNA from 1 species